UCGGGCAUUAAGGGCUAGAGGGAGUGUGUUCUCAGUCAACAGACCUGGGGCAUUAAGGGCUAGAGGGAGUGUGUUCUCAGUCAACAGACCUGGGGGAUUAAGAGCUAGAGGGAGUGCGUUCUCAGUCAACAGACCUGGGGCAUUAAGAGCUAUAGGGAGUGUGUUCUCAGUCAACAGACCUCGGGCAUUAAGGGCUAGAGGGAGUGUGUUCUCAGUCAACAGACCUGGGGCAUUAAGGGCUAGAGGGAGUGUGUGAUGGCUGCUGCUGCGUUGAAUCACUUUUAGGAGCCGCAGCACUUCAAAACGUGAGUAGCGGGAGAGAGUAAACUUUACCUAACAGAGGAGAUUAGGGUUGGGGUUACCCCAGUAACCCUAUCCCUGUCAGGCAGUACCGUAUAAAGUGACUUCAUGGCUUCUGCACCACCCAGUACCUCUCAUUCACAGGAAGAGGAGCUGGGAGACAGACUGGUGCUGUGAAGACCGAAAGCCCCUCUCAGUGUAUGCUAAUGGCAGGGGACUGGGAAGCUGCUGGGUGGUCUUUAUGAAGGGGUCUAUAGAGCCAGAGGCUUACCACUCCUGCUCUGCUCCCAUCAGAGUAGAAUGGACCACUCCUGCUCUGCUCCCAUCAGAGUAGAAUGGACCCCUCCUGCUCUGCUCCCAUCAGAGUAGAAUGGACCACUCCUGCUCUGCUCCCAUCAGAGUAGAAUGGACCACUCCUGCUCUGCUCCCAUCAGUGUAGAAUGGAAGGAUCCCAAACUGUUCCCCAGUUCUCUUCUCCCCUCCCUGACCCAAUCAGCAGAGUAUAAUUGAAGGAUCUCAGUUAGCUGCAUGUCUGUUUUGGUGUCUUUUCAUAUGUGAACUGCUUAGGUCUCUAGUGACUGCUGACAGAAAAAAAGCAGGGCUGCUGUCCUGAAGCCCCAGUAUGUCCUCAGGUCUGUACCUGCUGUCCUGAAGCCCCAGUACGUCCUCAGGNNNNNNNNNNUCAGAGGAGAGGUUGUGUUAGGUCAGAGGAGACGGGGAACAGUUGGCCAGAGGAGAGGUUGUGUUGGGUCAGAGGAGAGGUUGUGUUGGGUCAGAGGAGAGGUUGUGUUGGGUCAGAGGAGAGGUUGUGUUGGGUCAGAGGAGAGGUUGUGUUGGGUCACAGAACAGGGGAACAGUCGGCUGUAGGAGAGGUUGUGUUGGGUCACAGGACAGGGGGAACAGUUGGCCAGAGGAGAGGUUGUGUUGGGUCAGAGGAGAGGUUGUGUUGGGUCAGAGGAGAGGUUGUGUUGGGUCAGAGGAGAGGUUGUGUUGGGUCAGAGGAGAGGUUGUGUUGGGUCACAGAACAGGGGAACAGUCGGCUGUAGGAGAGGUUGUGUUGGGUCACAGGACAGGGGAACAGUAGGAUGAGUGGUAUACUGCUUACCUGUCGGAGGUCGAUGAAUGCCAGCUGUAAAGUGUCUCCCUGGAAUCCUGGGACAGGCUCUGAGCUGGCGAACACUGGAGCAGGGAGAGGAGACAGGAACAGUCAAUCACCACCUGCUGUCACUGAUAAGCCUACAGAAACUAUAUUUAUUCUGUCAGGGGAUAAGUCAACCUUUAUAUAAAGUGCUUUACACUGGGAAUAAAUGAAAUCAAAACAGAGUCAAGUUAAGGUUAAAACACUGCAUGAUCACCUAAAAACCUUAAACUACCUCGUAUAUCUUGGAGAACUCUACGUAUGAGAAGUCAAUAGAUUCCUUAGAGACAUAUGAACCCAGGAGCUGAACUCUGGUUCACCCUGCAUCAGGGGCCCUGAGGGGCCUCAGGGGAGCACCAGGUACAAGGCCAAGACACAAACACACAGGAACACAGCCAUCACAGCCCUGGCCCACAGGGACUCCUGAGUGGCGCAGCGGUCUAAGGCACUGCAUCUCAGUGCUUGAGGCGUCACUACAAACACCCUGGUUCGAAUCCAGGCUGUAUCAUAACCGGCCGUGAUUGUGAGUCCCUUAUGGAGCGAGCCAAGCCUGGUUGAAUGAUAUUUACACACAUAUAUAUAUCUGGUCCUUCAGAGACACUAGGUCGGACCUCCAGAGACACUAAGCCGGACCUCCAGAGACACUAAGCCGGACCUCCAGAGACACUAAGCUGGUCCUUCAGAGACACUAAGCUGGACCUCCAGAGACACUAAGCUGGACCUCCAGAGACACUAAGCUGGACCUCCAGAGACACUAAGCUGGACCUCCAGAGACACACGGCUGGACCUCCAGAGACACUAAGCUGGACCUCCAGAGACACUAAGCUGGACCUCCAGAGACACUAGGCUGGA
rnacentral:lncRNA from 13 species